GAUGAAAGAACGCAGCGAAAUGCGAUAAGUAAUGUGAAUUGCAGAAUUCAGUGAAUCAUCGAAUCUUUGAACGCACAUUGCGCCCGCCAGUAUCCUGGCGGGCAUGCCUGCCCGAGCGUCAUUUCAACCCUCGCGCCCCCCGCGGCGCGGUGUUGGGGACCGGCCCUCACACGGCCGCCCCCCAAACGCAGUGGCGGUCCCGCCGGCGCCUCCCCCGCGUAGUAGUCACUCACCUCGCGGCCCGGGAGACCCGGCGCGGCACCGAGCCGUAAAACCCCCCGACUGAAGGCCCACGGGCCGAGAAGUUUGACCUCGGAUCAGGUAGGAAGACCCGCUGAACUUAAGCAUAUCAAUAAGCGGAGGA
rnacentral:misc_RNA from 1 species